CCCUUUGUUGUCCGACUCUGUUGCCUCCGGGGCGACCCUGCCUUCGGGCGGGGGCUCCGGGUGGACACUUCAAACUCUUGCGUAACUUUGCAGUCUGAGUAAACUUAAUUAAUAAAUUAAAACUUUUAACAACGGAUCUCUUGGUUCUGGCAUCGAUGAAGAACGCAGCGAAAUGCGAUAAGUAAUGUGAAUUGCAGAAUUCAGUGAAUCAUCGAAUCUUUGAACGCACAUUGCGCCCCCUGGUAUUCCGGGGGGCAUGCCUGUUCGAGCGUCAUUUCACCACUCAAGCCUCGCUUGGUAUUGGGCAACGCGGUCCGCCGCGUGCCUCAAAUCGACCGGCUGGGUCUUCUGUCCCCUAAGCGUUGUGGAAACUAUUCGCUAAAGGGUGUUCGGGAGGCUACGCCGUAAAACAACCCCAUUUCUAAGGUUGACCUCGGAUCAGGUAGGGAUACCCGCUGAACUUAAGCAUAUCAAUAAGCGGAG
rnacentral:rRNA from 1 species